UCGGGCUGGUUCGUACAUGUUCGGGUUUGUUUUUUAUUUUUUUUAUCUGUACGUUCAAAACAAACAUUGCAUUAUUGAUCAAAAAAUUGUUGACCAAUGUUAUUUUAUAUUUUUUUAAGAGUAAAACAAAUGUACACAAAUAUUUCCUUGUUACUAAUUAUGAGAUUUUCAGGUAGCGUGUGGAGAUUUCAUCUUAUGUUCAUGAGCGCACAACGUAUAAAAUCAUAAGAAAUGUUUUCUGUUGGUGUGUAGCAGUUAACCGCAUUUAAGUAAAAAUAUUUUAAAAUAAUUUUUACCAGAGCUGAAUUACAUUCAGGUGAGUGCACUUAAUAUAAUUUGGGGUAUUGCAGGAAAAAUUAUAAAUUCCUAAAGUGUUUUUUCUUCCUGACAUGUUUAAAAUUAUUAUUCUCUAUGAGGGUUGUUUGAUACUGCAAGUAGUUUAUCAUGUUUAACAUGUGGAUAGGUUAGGAUUAUUUAUUACAAAUCUGUAAUAUUGAGAUACUGCCCUUGGGUUAGCAGGAUUAAAAAUACAGUGAAAUUUGUUAGGUUAGUAACAUUAUACGUACAGUGAUUCUAAGUACAGUGGAAUUUACAUUUGGUUAGCUUCGGAUAGCGCCAAUUAAAAAUUCUGUAAAAUCAAUUGAACGGUUGGAUGUUACUAACUUAAUCUAACCAACCAAUAUACAUUUUACAGUGAUUUUUUAAUUUAUCAUCUCACGUUGCUGCUUUUUGUAUGCAAAAUAAACUUUGGACACUUUUUUUUAAACUUUAAAUAUGUACCUGUAUUUACUCUGAAAAAGUUUUUCUAAAUUCAGACUGGGUUUUGAGAAAUCACUGUUUAUAGGUUACAUUACAUUACCUGUGCAGUAAAGGGCCUGUCACCAUGUUGUUCUUUAAUUGAGUUGCAGAUCCUGUUUUUUUUUAUACACAAAUUGUAUAUUUUUUAUUUGGAUAUUGCAAUGCAGAAACGUAAAUUAACACAUUAAAAAAGUUAUGUGACUCCUUAUUGUGCAUUCCAAACCCAAAGCAUCAGUCCUUGAGAGCGAUAUUUUUUAGCAGUUUAUAGGUGCAAAAUUCUGAUUUUUUACGUGAGACAACACAUAACCUGACAUAUAAAAUAAAUUUUCAUUUUGUAACAAAUGAUUCCUUUUAUAUGUCAGGUUACGUGCUAUUGCAGGUAACUAAUCUGCGCUUUGCGCCUCCAUACUGCUAUAAAAAAUCCCUGUCAAGGGUUGGCGUUUUGGUUUGGAUACACAUUAGAGACUCGUAACUUUUUUAAAACUAUUAUUUAUGUUUCAUUAGGUUAUAAUAUUCAAAUAAAAAAUAAAUACAUUCUUAUAUAUAUGGAAAACCACAGGAUCUGCAAUGCAAUUAGAGGGAAAAAUGGCGACAGCUGCUUCACUGCAUAAGCUAUCUAGUGUGACCUGCAAAAUGUGAUUUCUUGAAAACCAGUAGGAAUUAAGAAAAACUGUUUACAGUUUUAAUAGAGGAAGGUUUUUAGUGUCUGAAAAGGUAUUUUCAAAAUUUUAUAAUUUAAUUUAUGGAUAAGCAGCAACAAAAGAAAAUUACCUUUUUUUAAAUUUAGCUAACCAACCAUUCACAUGAUUUUACAAAUUUUGUAUUGUUUAUACUUACCUGCUUUAACAUUAAACUACUGUUAAACAAUUUAUUUCAAUUUUUUAAAAAUAUCUUUGGGAAUUAGCGCAGUAUAAUCAAAGACGUUUACUGUAUUGAUGAUUGAUUUACUUUAUUGAUGCACAACGAAGUUGUAUAAUUGUUGGAUUGGUUAAGCAAAUUCAAGCAUCAAGGGUACUGAUCAAUGGUUUUUAACAUUAUAUUUUCUUAAUGAGUCCAUUGGUAAAACGUUAAAACACUGGAAUGGCUAAAUUUCCAUCGACUGCUUAUGUUUUUUUCCGCAUGCUCACUUGAAAACAAUUACAGGGUUAUACUGUAGUUCACAGUUGCAAUACUUGGUUAGGUUAGUUACAUAAGUGCUGUUAAAUCAUGAAAAUGGUUAGGGAAAGGUAACUUCUUCAUAACUACUGUAAAAUGGUGUAAGCAAUUAUUCUUUAGGUAAGUUUUACCUAGACUUUAAAAAUAAUUUAUUUGGUGAAGUACAUAGUACUAAGAAUUACUAUUUAUCAAAUUUGGUUUGUGUGGAAAAGUUGUUACUCUAGGAAAUUUCUGAAUCCAUCUUUGUAGGAAUAUAAACUAAUAUUAUUAGAAACAAAAAAAAACAAUGUGUGGUAUAUUUUAAUUUUCUAACACCCUCUGAACUCUGCAGUUAUGCGAUUACCGAUAAUAAUUGUAAAUCAUUGCAAUAUACAUCCGACACAUUUUGUAGUGAUUUCACAACUGUACUAUGAAGUAAUGCCAUCGACUGCUGCAAAAUAACAUGCUGACAUCUAUUCUCGUGUAGGCAUUUUGUUGAUACGACUAAAAUAUGACCAUAUAGGAUAUAUAUAUAUAGAAUCUUACAAAUUUUGAUAACCUACCUACUAAUACUCUCCCCGAAGACUUUGGUUAGAUACUUAAAAAAAAAAAAAAAAACUGCUUAUGUGACAUGCAUUACGUGAAAUUAAUUCAACUUGUAAACAUUUUGCUUGAGUCAAAGCCUAGAUUUGCUUAAGCUAAUAACAAGCAAUUACAUCACUUGAGGCCCUGAGAAACAAACUUCUGAAAUUGUGUAGUUACUUGGAUUGUUAAAUACCUAGUUUUUCUGCAAUAAUGGGCACAAGAGCAAUAGAAUUAUGUUUUUCAUAUAAUUUUUUUCACAUAAAUGAGUUUUUGUCAAAAAGUAUUUGGAAAAAAAUAUCUGUUUGAAAGGACAAAGAAAAAUGUUAAUUGUAGUACAUAAAUGAGAAUUUACCAAAAUAUUGAAAGUAUCAAAUUUCUAACUAAAAUGGUUUUGAAAUUAAUUUAUCAUUCUCGUAUGCAUAACUUUUUUCUUUGAUACAUUUAUUUAUCAGUUUCAUUUCUCUUUAGUACAAUAUCUAUCAUUUAACUUUGAUUUCUUUUUUGUUUCAGGCUUGUGGAGAACAGCUUUUUUUUAUCUACUGUUUGGCUGGCCAAUGUAAAUAAACAAUGAUUUCAUGAAUGCAACGAGUUUAUUUGAUGUAUUUUAAAAUCACUGAUAAUAUUUAUUGAUGUAUUUUAAAAUUACUGAUAAUAUUUGUUUUGUGGCUGGAAGAUGGUAACCAUGGUGACUUGUGAAUUUUUAUGAAGAUUAAUAAAAAGCAGUAAAAAUUAUUAA